rnacentral:rRNA from 1 species
GGCCUAAUACAUGCAAGUCGAGGGGUAACAGGAAAGCUUGCUUUUGCUGACGACCGGCGCACGGGUGCGUAACGCGUAUGCAACCUACCUCAUACUGGAGCAUAGCCCUUGGAAACGGGGAUUAAUACUCCAUGGUAUCAUGAAUUCGCAUGUUUUCAUGAUUAAAGAAUUUCGGUAUGAGAUGGGCAUGCGUCCCAUUAGCUAGUUGGUGAGGUAACGGCUCACCAAGGCGACGAUGGGUAGGGGGCCUGAGAGGGUGGUCCCCCACACUGGUACUGAGACACGGACCAGACUCCU